rnacentral:lncRNA from 1 species
CCUCGCCUCGCCAGCCCCGCCACCGCUGCCGCCACCUCCGCCUCACCUUGCCGGCCCCGCCACCGCCGCCUCCCCUCCGCCGGCCUCCCCUCCGCUGGCUCUCACCGCCACCGUCGGGCUCCCCUCCGCCGGCUCUCACCGCCACCGUCGGGCUCCCCUCCGCCGGCCUCCUCUCCGCCGGGUCCCGCCGCCUCCGCCUCCGCCACCGCUCCCCUCCGCGCCGGCUGACCCUGCGACGCACGGGCCGCCGACCGACCCCGCUGCUGGUGGGGUGGCGCGCCUGCGGCAGUGGUCCUGGCGGAGGUGACCUAGCCGCAGCUGAUGGCCUCGCCGCCGCCGCCAUUGCCCUCCUCCCCGCGAGCCUCUGGAGCUGGAUCCGUCGCCCAAGGAGCCAGCCGCGGCACCGUCGCGCAAGGAUGGGCCGAGGAUGGAGGAGGGGCAAGAAUGGCUGCGGCCGGAGGAGGAGCGGAUGGCAGGUGGCGCUCGAUUCCAGCGAUGGUGGUGCUCGACGCUAGUUCUGCUCUGAUUCCGUGCGAGUUGAGAAGUAAGAAGUAGAGGAAGGGUAAAGGAGAGAGGUAAACGAGGGGUAAAAGAGUCUUUUGGCAACCAAAGUGCUAAAGUUUAGCCCCUCACCCAAACACCCUAGGUGCUAAACUUUAGCCCUAACAUUUGAGAGACCCCCCUCCCAAACAGGGUCUCGGUCCUCACCAUUUCAGACAGGAUGCCAGCUGAGCAGUGAAUUCACUUUGACGUAUACUCUGCAGCUUCUCCUGCUACUUCAACAUUUUUGCAACGAAUUCCGGGGUCAUAUCCAUGCUGCUCUCAUGUUUCUUGAAGUCAUCUCUCCCGUUACCAUUUUAUCCUGUAAGGCCAAAAGCAAAAGGAAACUGUCCUAUGCUCCUAUAUAUGCCUGUGCAAUAGUGCUGCACCAUCAGCUCUAGUGAGCACAUGAAGUACAGCCCAAAAAUAUGCAAAACUUCAGGUACUUUUACAUGUUUUUGUGACACUGCAUUGGUUUUCUUUCUUUUUUUUGGCAUGCGAUGUUAAACUGGAAGUUACUUCCAACGGGAGACCCUGCCACUUCACAUCUAGUUGAUGUUCAAACUUCAAAAGUGAGUGUAGUGGAGUUCGACAAUCCAGGUGCAGAUUAUUAACAGUACCAGUACAAACAUACAUCAUCAUAUACCUCUACACAUACAAAUAUACACUAGUGCCGGAGCAGAUGCUCUCUACCCAGAACUGUUAAUGGUGUCUAACUAGCUGAAAAAAGAAUUCAGCCUGAAGGAGGUGCUCUAAUUGUUGAGUCUUAUGUGAAGUUAAUGGUUUCUAGCUUCCAUGCAGAGGGCAUAAUUGUUCGAUUGUGCUUCUGAAUCCUCACCAUUUUAGGGAGGAUGCCAGAUCCUGGAGAGAUUCCACUUGCCGUAUAGUCUGCAUCUUCUCCUGCUGCUUCAACAUGUUUGCAACAGAUUCCGGAUCAUAUCCAGUUUGUAGCUUAUUCUUUUCUUGCUCAGCUUGAACCUCUUUAAGUAGCUCAUCGACUUCCCUGACAAAAUCUACCCUUAGAAGAAGAUCAUCAUCCUGAGGUGGCAGCUCAAUUCGUCCUUCAUGCUGACAUAAAUAAAAGGAAAUAAUAUAGAAAACAAAACAUUCAGGAUGUUUGUGUAGCAUCUGAGGACCAAUAUGACAUAGAAAAGUAACUCAGAAGGAAGCAAUAUAUCCAGAACCAAACUAUACUGAAAUGGAGAUAUUGAUUUUAUUUAGACUCAGCUAAUUUUGUACAGUGGAUAUGACAAUAUUUUAUAUAUUGAUAAUCAUAAUUUCAUGUAUGCUUUGCUUCAAAAUGAAAUUGUGUUGCUUUUUAUGUCAAUGAUUCCAAAACUUGAAAUAGAAAAAACUAAGAGAUUCUGCAUAAUAAAGGGCUCAACAAUAAAUAGUUUUAAGUAUGAUAUAGGUGGCUUAUAUUUUUUAUUUCAGCAGAAGUACAAAAUGCGGGAGCAAUGGCUAAGAGCAUUAAAGUUGUCAGUGCCUCUUCAAUAAAUUUGGUGCGCUCAAGUCUUGACAAAUCUAUAACUGAAAGC